CCUACGGGAGGCAGCAGUGAGGGAUAUUGGUCAAUGGGGGAAACCCUGAACCAGCAACGCCGCGUGAGGGAAGACGGUUUUCGGAUUGUAAACCUCUGUCUUCUGUGAAGAUAAUGACGGUAUCUGAGGAGUAAGCUCCGGCUAACUACGUGCCAGCAGCCGCGGUAAUACGUAGGGAGCAAGCGUUGUCCGGAUUUACUGGGUGUAAAGGGUGCGUAGGCGGCUUUGCAAGUCAGAAGUGAAAUCCAUGGGCUUAACCCAUGAACUGCUUUUGAAACUGGAGUGCUUGAGUGGAGUAGAGGUAGGCGGAAUUCGCGGUGUAGCGGUGAAAUGCGUAGAGAUCGAGAGGAACACC
rnacentral:rRNA from 1 species